GAUCGUCGGUUCGAGUCCUACUGAAAGAAGGCUGAUGAGGAAAUGUUGUGAUUUCCGAAAUAGUUAUCACUUCNACCAUUAUUUCAAAU